rnacentral:tRNA from 1 species
GGGCGCUUAGUUCAGUUGGCUAGAACGCUACCUUCACACGGUAGAGGUCACAGGUUCGAGUCCUGUAGCGCCCACCA